AGCAGCCCCGGGGAAAGAGCCCUGAUCCAGGACUCAGGCCCCUGUUCCCAGCGCGGUUUAGCUGCCAACCAGAUCUCCUUCUGCAAGAGGAGAAACAGAAGGAAACUUCAUUCCUGAGUGUGUGGAGCCAGGAAAAGGGGCAAUGCCUGGUGGCUGGGGCCAGAUCUACAUCCGGGGCCUCCUAAGUAAGACCAGGACCUCGAGGGGAGGCUGAAGGGAGGAGCCACAGCCCGCAGUCACUGGGCUGAGCAGGAGGAACAUUCAAAAGGUCUGGGAGCACACGGUGGGGUCCUCAGCAGUGAGAUCCUCCCCCGGCCUCCGUGUCAUGGACAGAAGGUGGACGCCUUGUCACGAGCUGGCCACAUCAGAUGCUCUCUUUCGGGACUUUGGGACUGAGAAAGAGAGAGGGAGACGCCCAGGAUGGGGAUGAGAACAGAGCCGGUGGCAGACCAGCCCCGUGGGAAAAACUGAGGUCACCAGCCACACAGCCACCUGCUUCCAAAUGUUACACUGGCUGUCUCGAGCGCUCACUUCUACCUUACUCAAAUGUUCGCUUUUAUGGGAAACUUGAGUUAUUUUGUUUUUAAAAUACUAAUAAAAUAAAACUUAAAAAAGU